UGGUGGAGUGAUUUGUCUGCUUAAUUGCGAUAACGAACGAGACCUUAACCUGCUAAAUAGUCAUGCCAGCUUUGGCUGGUACGGACUUCUUAGAGGGACUAUCUGUGACUAACAGAUGGAAGUUUGAGGCAAUAACA
rnacentral:rRNA from 1 species